GCUGCUCACAUGGGUUUGGAUAGGAGCUGGAGGGACUGCUGUAUUUAAAUCUGAAGUUACUGUCUCCGCCGAAUCACCAGGGCUCGUUUACUUUAGGGGUUCUGCAUGCACACGGCCUGGUUUCAACAUAUGUAACCAACAAUAGACCGACUGCAGCCUAUCCCGUUGUGGAAACCCUUCCACUGCAGACGGGUUCAUGUGGGUGUCGGCGGGAAUGGAUAGUAAAGAAUUCUGCGGGUUCAAAACAGGCAGACAUGAGAACAGCACUGCAGUGGAGGGCGACCUGACAGACCUCUUUCCGCUUGGACGUCCUGCCACUAGAGGACUGGGGCUGAAGGCCUGCCCAACGGCCUCUUCAGGGCAGGCCACUCAAGUAAGCACCCCCCCAUGACUGUAACGCUUUCUGGCAGGGGGACGGGGUGACAGAUGUUCCCUGCCAGUGGCAUGGUGGCAUUGAGGCGAUUUCAGUGUGUGGGCGUGUUUGCUGGGAUUGGGGUGAUAGAAGAAAGACAAAUAAAUCUUGUCAAAUCAAUUUA